GUGGCUAUAGUUCAAUGGUAGAACACUAGGUUGUGGUCCUAGAUACCAGGGUUCAAUUCCCUGUAGCCACCCCA
rnacentral:tRNA from 1 species